rnacentral:rRNA from 1 species
GAUGAACGCUGGCGGCGUGCCUAAUACAUGCAAGUCGAGCGAAUUGACAGAGGUGCUUGCACCUCUCGAUUUUAGCGGCGGACGGGUGAGUAACACGUGGGUAACCUACCUAUAAGACUGGGAUAACUUCGGGAAACCGGAGCUAAUACCGGAUAAUAUUUAGCUUCGCAUGAAGCAAUAGUGAAAGACGGUUCUGCUGUCACUUAUAGACGGACCUGCGGUGUAUUAGCUAGUUGGUGAGGUAACGGCUCACCAAGGCAGCGAUACAUAGCCGACCUGAGAGGGUGAUCGGUCACACUGGGACUGAGACACGGCCCAGACUCCUACGGGAGGCAGCAGUAGGGAAUCUUCCGCAAUGGACGAAAGUCUGACGGAGCAACGCCGCGUGAGUGAAGAAGGUUUUCGGAUCGUAAAACUCUGUUGUAAGGGAAGAACAAGUACGUUAGUAACUGAACGUACCUUGACGGUACCCUACCAGAAAGCCACGGCUAACUACGUGCCAGCAGCCGCGGUAAUACGUAGGUGGCAAGCGUUAUCCGGAAUUAUUGGGCGUAAAGCGCGCGUAGGCGGUCUCUUAAGUCUGAUGUGAAAGCCCCCGGCUCAACCGGGGAGGGUCAUUGGAAACUGGGAGACUUGAGUACAGAAGAGGAAAAUGGAAUUCCAAGUGUAGCGGUGGAAUGCGUAGAUAUUUGGAGGAACACCAGUGGCGAAGGCGAUUUUCUGGUCUAACAUUGACGCUGAGGCUCGAAAGCGUGGGGAGCGAACAGGAUUAGAUACCCUGGUAGUCCACGCCGUAAACGAUGAGUGCUAAGUGUUGGGGGCUUUCCGGCCCUCGGUGCUGGAGCUAACGUAUUAAGCACUCCGCCUGGGGAUUACGACCGCAAGAUUGGAACUCAAAAGAAUUGACGGGGACCCGCACAAGCGGUGGAGCAUGUGGUUUAAUUCGAAGCAACGCGAAGAACCUUACCAGCUCUUGACACCUUCUGACAACUCUAGAGAUAGAGCGUUCCCUUCGGGGACAGAAUGACAGGUGGUGCAUGGUUGUCGUCAGCUCGUGUCGUGAGAUGUUGGGUUAAGUCCCGCAACGAGCGCAACCCUUGUCUUAUGUUGCCAGCACGUUAUGGUGGGGACUCAUGAGAGACUGCCGGGGUUAACUCGGAGGAAGGUGGGGACGACGUCAAGUCAUCAUGCCCCUUAUGUCCAGGGCUUCACACAUGCUACAAUGGCCGGUACAAUGCGCAGCGAGCCUGUGAGGGUGAGCUAAUCGCUUAAAGCUGGUCUUAGUUCGGAUUGUAGGCUGCAACUCGCCUACAUGAAGUCGGGAUCGCUAGUAAUCGCGGAUCAGCACGCCGCGGUGAAUACGUUCCCGGGCCU